rnacentral:misc_RNA from 1 species
GUAUUGUAUUGCGUUAAACGCGAUGCACAUUCCAUAAGACUUAACUACAGUGUGUGUGUGUAAAGACGUAGAACUACGGGAGGAGAACGGCAAGUCCUCCAGACCAUAGAGCUACAGAGGGUGCACAGAGGUGUGAGUGGAUGUGUGAACAGAGCGUGCACAUGCCCCCUUUUGAGGGACCAGCAACAACUCAUGUCGACAACUCGGUAAUGAUCCUUCUGCAGGUUCACCUACAGAAA